GUCACAUCUGCCAAAAGAAACCCUCCAAAACUGAAUCACAGAAAGACAGAAAGUUCACGAAAUAUUCUAGUGCUAAUUUCUCCACGAAAAAAUCCACAUCAAAAGGGGAGACAAGAGAAUCAGUCAGCUUUAUAAAUUUCCUUCAUACUCCAUAUGAUUAUCGAAUUCACACAAAAAAAUUAAAGAAAACUUGGAAUAUCAGAAAAAGCUGGGGCGAGUGUGUGGCUGUGGUGAGAUUAGGCUCCAAUUUUUUCUGUUCUUACUACAUGAUUCUCAACUGUCAUGCAAAGCAGAAUUAAGGAUAAAAAGCAAAAAAGAUGCAAACAACAAAUCAG
rnacentral:misc_RNA from 1 species